rnacentral:rRNA from 1 species
GAUCAUGGCUCAGGAUGAACGCUAGCUACAGGCUUAACACAUGCAAGUCGAGGGGCAGCGGAGAGGUAGCAAUACCUUUGCCGGCGACCGGCGCACGGGUGAGUAACACGUAUGCAAUCCACCUGUAACAGGGGGGAUAACCCGGAGAAAUCCGGACUAAUACCCCAUAAUAUGGGCGCUCCGCAUGGAGAGCCCAUUAAAGAGAGCAAUUUUGGUUACAGACGAGCAUGCGCU